rnacentral:rRNA from 3 species
CCAGACAGCCAGGAUGUUGGCUUAGAAGCAGCCAUCAUUUAAAGAAAGCGUAAUAGCUCACUGGUCGAGUCGGCCUGCGCGGAAGAUGUAACGGGGCUAAACCAUGCACCGAAGCUGCGGCAGCGACACUGUGUGUUGUUGGGUAGGGGAGCGUUCUGUAAGCCUGUGAAGGUGUGUCGUGAGGCAUGCUGGAGGUAUCAGAAGUGCGAAUGCUGACAUAAGUAACGAUAAAGCGGGUGAAAAGCCCGCUCGCCGGAAGACCAA